GAUGAACGCUGGCGGCGUGCCUAAUACAUGCAAGUCGAGCGAACGGACGAGAAGCUUGCUUCUCUGAUGUUAGCGGCGGACGGGUGAGUAACACGUGGAUAACCUACCUAUAAGACUGGGAUAACUUCGGGAAACCGGAGCUAAUACCGGAUAAUAUUUUGAACCGCAUGGUUCAAAAGUGAAAGACGGUCUUGCUGUCACUUAUAGAUGGAUCCGCGCUGCAUUAGCUAAUUGGUAAGGUAACGGCUUACCAAGGCAACGAUGCAUAGCCGACCUGAGAGGGUGAUCGGCCACACUGGAACUGAGACACGGUCCAGACUCCUACGGGAGGCAGCAGUAGGGAAUCUUCCGCAAUGGGCGAAAGCCUGACGGAGCAACGCCGCGUGAGUGAUGAAGGUCUUCGGAUCGUAUAACUCUGUUAUUAGGGAAGAACAUAUGUGUAAGUAACUGUGCACAUCUUGACGGUACCUAAUCAGAAAGCCACGGCUAACUACGUG
rnacentral:rRNA from 1 species